rnacentral:sRNA from 1 species
UAAUGGUCAUGGUGGCUGUAAGGUAUUCAAUACAGAUAAGAUUCAGUAGAUAUAUGCAAAGAAAAACCUACCACCAAUUAAGGUAGCUGUGAAAGAGACAACAGAGUUUUCCGUAGGUUUACUGAGAACUGCCGAGCGUACAAAUUCAAAGAAAUCUGUUGACGUAAAGCUAGUGGUGGGAAUCAGGGAAUUGAAUAUAAAGGUCAGAUAAUAAGGAUAUUGUUCGGUUAUUGUCUCCUCGUAUCCCAAGAAUGUAUCAUACUCCUCGUAACUAAAAUAUCUCUUGUCUGGAAGGAAGUCUAUGAGCUCUCGCAGAUACUCGUAGGAUGCCGUAGUAUUUGGACCUAAAUGAUUCAGCACGAAUGUUACAUGUCCACGUGAAAGGUACGCAUCAAUUGUUCCAUCAAACAGCAGGUACCCUCCCCAUUCAUUUGGCAAAUUGUUGGUAAACAGUAACUCAAUCUUUUUGGACACUUGCGAGAAGACAUCCUCCUUAUAAAACGUAUAUAUCGGAUAAAUGAUGAUAACUUUGAUAACUUUCUCUGGCGGUGGAUGGAGCUUGAAUAACAGUCGGGUGGAGAUACCAAAAGUACCACCCCCACCACCUGCCACUGCCCAGAAGAAAUUCGCAUCACUGACGUUAGAGGUGCUUCCAUUGUUGUAGAGUGUGUGGACGUACUCUUGGGUGGCCGUGACGAUUCUUCCGUCUGCCAUGACCAUUUCUACCUCCAGUAAAUUAUCAAUGGCCAUUCCGUAGUAUCGACAGAUUGGACUGUGUCCUCCCCCGAGUGUAUAGCCCGCCAUCCCUACUGUGUGGGUGCUACCUCCAACAAUGACUCUCCCAUACUUGUCCACCUGUCAAAUUGCGGUGUCAUAAACAGUAAGUCGAAGCAAUGUGAUCAUCGAUAAAACAACAAAAUUAACCCUGUAUUUUAAUUUGUUUAUAUCCUUUGAUUACCAAGGUUUAUCUCGAUUCAUAUACAAAGCCGUGCUAGAAAUUGUAAAUAUUAGUAAACUGGCCAUAAUAAAACCAAAGUUACCA